rnacentral:rRNA from 1 species
UACGGGGGGGGCAAGCGUUGUUCGGAAUUACUGGGCGUAAAGGGCUCGUAGGCGGCCAACUAAGUCGGACGUGAAAUCCCCAGGCUCAACCUGGGAACUGCGUCCGAUACUGGAUGGCUUGAAUUCGGGAGAGGGAUGCAGAAUUCCAGGUGUAGCGGUGAAAUGCGUAGAUAUCUGGAGGAAUACCGGUGGCGAAGGCGGUUCUCUGGGCCUGACCUGACGCUGAGGAGCGAAAGCGUGGGGAGCAAACAGG